AUGGACUCGUCGUGCUAUACAUGCAAGUCGAGCGGACCUUUUAAAGCUUGCUUUUAAGAGGAUAGCGGCGGACGGGUGAGUAACACGUGGGGACCUGCCUGUGAGAUCGGGAUAACGCCGGGAAACCGGGGCUAAUACCGGAUAGUUUUUUCCUCCCCAUGGAGGAAAAAGGAAAGACGGCUUCUGCUGUCACUUACAGAUGGGCCCGCGGCGCAUUAGCUAGUUGGUGGGGUAACGGCUCACCAAGGCAACGAUGCCUAGCCGACCUGAGAGGGUGAUCGGCCACAUUGGGACUGAGACACUGCCCAAACUCCUACGGGAGGCAACAGUAGGGAAUCUUCCGCAAUGGACAAAAGUCUGACGGAGCAACGCCGCGGGAGUGAAGAAGGCCUUCGGGUCGUAAAACUCUGUUGCCGGGGAAGAACAAGUGCCGUUCGAACAGGGCGGCGCCUUGACGGUACCCGGCCAGAAAGCCACGGCUAACUACGUGCGAGCAGCCGCGGCAAUACGUAUGUGGGAAGAGUUGUCCGGAAUUAUUGGGCGUAAAGCGCGCGCAAGCGGCUUCUUAAGUCUGAUGUGAAAUCUUGCGGCUCAACCGCAUGCGGUCAUUGAAAACUGACAGGCUUGAGUGCAGAAGAGGAGAGAGGAAUUCCACGCGUAGCGAAGAAAUGCGUAGAGAUGUGGACGAACACCAGUGGCGAACGCUGCUCUCUGGUCUGUAGCUGACGCUGAGGGGCUGAAAGCGCGUGGAGCACACAGGAUUAGAUACCCUGUGAGUCCACGCCGUAAACGAUGAGUGCUAACUGUGACAGGGUUUCCGCGCUUUAGUGCUGCCCCUAACGCAUUACGCACUCCGCCUGGAGAGUACGGCCGCGACGGCUGACACUCAAAGGAGUUGACGCGGGCCCGCACAUCGGUGCAGCAUGUGGAUUCAUUUCGAGGCAUCGCGAAGUAC
rnacentral:rRNA from 1 species